UGUCGGCGAGUGGCGAACGGGUGAGUAAUGCAUCGGAACGUACCGAGUAAUGGGGGAUAACUAUGCGAAAGUGUAGCUAAUACCGCAUACGCUCUUAGGAGGAAAGCGGGGGACUGUUAAAGGCCUCGCGUUAUUCGAUCGGCCGAUGUCGGAUUAGCUAGUUGGUGAGGUAAAGGCUUACCAAGGCGAUGAUCCGUAGCGGGUCUGAGAGGACGAUCCGCCACACUGGGACUGAGACACGGCCCAG
rnacentral:rRNA from 1 species